rnacentral:rRNA from 1 species
CUCGGUGAUUUGUGCGAGCCGGUCCCACCUGAUCCCAUCCCGAACUCAGAAGUGAAACGGCUUAGCGGGGACGAUAAUGCAUCCGCAAGGUUGUGUGAAUAUACCUCAUUGCCGGGA